rnacentral:lncRNA from 1 species
UUUUUUCUCUAGUACCUCAACCCUAAACUUAAACCUUGCUCACUUCCAAGAGCAACCCUAAAUUUAUUAUGUUUCAUACAACUUUAAAACUAAAAAUUUCUACCUAACUCCAAAGAGAGGGUGGAAAGAUGUAAUCUUUCAAGUCAUAUGGCUAAUAAAUAAGGCUAAGUUUACCAAAAGAAUGGCUAAGCACAAAGUGGUUAGCAAAGGAC